GACGAACGCUGGCGGCGUGCUUAACACAUGCAAGUCGAACGGAAAGGCCCUGCUUUUGUGGGGUGCUCGAGUGGCGAACGGGUGAGUAACACGUGAGUAACCUGCCCUUGACUUUGGGAUAACUUCAGGAAACUGGGGCUAAUACCGGAUAGGAGCUCCUGCUGCAUGGUGGGGGUUGGAAAGUUUCGGCGGUUGGGGAUGGACUCGCGGCUUAUCAGCUUGUUGGUGGGGUAGUGGCUUACCAAGGCUUUGACGGGUAGCCGGCCUGAGAGGGUGACCGGCCACAGUGGGACUGAGAUACGGCCCAGACUCCUACGGGAGGCAGCAGUGGGGAAUAGUGCACAAUGGGCGGAAGCCUGAUGCAGCAACUCCGCGUGCGGGAUGACGGCCUUCGGGUUGUAAACCGCAUUCGCCUGUGACGAAGCGUGAGUGACGGUAAUGGGUAAAGAAGCACCGGCUAACUACGUG
rnacentral:rRNA from 1 species